UGCGAGGGCAUAUAGCCCUCGCUUUUCUGUACCGUAAGGUGGUACAGGAACAAGGACUGGGCAAGACCGGUGCCAGCCGCCGCGGUAAUACCGGCAGCCCAAGUGAUGGCCGAUAUUAUUGGGCCUAAAGCGUCCGUAGCCGGCCGGACAAGUCCGUUGGGAAAUCGACGCGCUCAACGCGUCGGCGUCCAGCGGAAACUGUCCGGCUUGGGGCCGGAAGACCUGAGGGGUACGUCCGGGGUAGGAGUGAAAUCCUGUAAUCCUGGACGGACCACCAAUGGGGAAACCACCUCAGGAAGACGGACCCGACGGUGAGGGACGAAAGCUAGGGUCUCGAACCGGAUU
rnacentral:rRNA from 1 species